rnacentral:rRNA from 2 species
GGUGUGCUUAACACAUGCAAGUCGAACGGUAAGGCCCUUUCGGGGGUACACGAGUGGCGAACGGGUGAGUAACACGUGAGUAACCUGCCCUCAUCUCUGGGAUAACAGUCGGAAACGGUUGCUAAUACUGGAUAUGAGCUUGCAAGGCAUCUUGUGGGUUGGAAAGAUUUUUUUGGUUGGGGAUGGACUCGCGGCCUAUCAGCUUGUUGGUGAGGUAGUGGCUCACCAAGGCUUCGACGGGUAGCCGGCCUGAGAGGGCGACCGGCCACAUUGGGACUGAGAUACGGCCCAAACUCCUACGGGAGGCAGCAGUGGGGAAUAUUGCACAAUGGACGGAAGUCUGAUGCAGCAACGCCGCGUGCGGGAUGACGGCCUUCGGGUUGUAAACCGCUUUCAAUUGUGACGAAGCUUUUUUGUGACGGUAGCAGUAGAAGAAGCACCGGCUAACUACGUGCCAGCAGCCGCGGUGAUACGUAGGGUGCGAGCGUUGUCCGGAUUUAUUGGGCGUAAAGAGCUUGUAGGCGGUUUGUCGCGUCGGGAGUGAAAACUUGGGGCUUAACCCUGAGCUUGCUUUCGAUACGGGCUGACUUGAGGGAGGUAGGGGAGAAUGGAAUUCCUGGUGGAGCGGUGGAAUGCGCAGAUAUCAGGAGGAACACCGGUGGC